GCCCUCCCCCAGUCAUGAACCCCCGGAGGGGGCAGCGGAGGAAGGAGGAGCCGCCGACUCGGACGUGGACGCCUUUUUCCGGACAGUUCUGGAAACGGACGAGCUUUUCAUAAGAACCACUCAUUCCUGGAAGUGUGAGUUAGCGUCCCCCUCAUACACACCCACUGAAUCUUUGCUCGCCUCUGGUACGUAACACCCCCGCCCCCAUCUGCCUUCUGGCUGUUUGCGGCCCCUGCCACCUCCCAGCCCCCGGAUCUGUGGCUACCCAUGUUCCUUGGCUACACAGUCCCUUUCCCAGAAAAGAUGCCGACCACCCUUUUUUCCUACCACCUGUGGCCACGUUUCUCUGCUGACCAGGGCUUCUCCAUCUCCUCUUUACCUGUAGCUUCCACCAACUCAGGGAGGUAGAGCACCCCAUCUUCCAUGUCUGGAACCAUUUUGUGUAGAAUCUUUGUCCCAAAGAGUCCAGUAAGUUAUAAGGACCCUGCGCAUCUACCCCUCUCUCUGUAAAUUGGAUUAGAGGACGGUGAACUAGUGGGGUCAAGGAUCAGGUUAGCUCUGAAGACUCCCUGCACACCCAUCUGUUUCCUAACCUCAUUGCCUUGCCCUGGAGGUCAUCUGAGGGAAGGGGUGGGGUGCUUUGUUGGGGAGACUCCUGAUUUUAGAAGUCAAGACUUGGUCGGCCCAUAUGUUCAUUUUCUAGUUGGUCUGAAAAGGAAAGGACUGGAAGACAGGAAUUGAUGUCAGGGCUGGGAGAAUGUAGAGGGAGCCCCUGUUAUCUACCCUGCUUCCCAGGGAUAAUAAACACCUUCCCCCCACACACUGCCC